rnacentral:misc_RNA from 1 species
AACAGCUGAAAGUGGACUUAAGAACCUGGUAACAUUACGCCAAAGGCCGCUGAAGCCAAGAACAAUUUGAAGAGUUGAAGCAACAAUGAGGGCACCUUGUAUUGCACGCAUGAUCUUCUUGAAUCGCUCAAUAGGGUCAAGAUUAUCACUAAAUCGACCAGCAAGGAUAAUUGAAAUCGUAGUCGGGACAAAGGUAUAAGAGCCUCCAAUAACAGCAGGCAAACGAGUUCCAAACAAACUCUGAAGCAAUGUGUUCAAACCAGCAACAAA